UAUAACGUUACAGAACGAUACAGAAAUAUUUUAUCUCUGAUAGGACUAGUCUUGAUAACUCACAACAGUCGGAGUUUCAGCUGAAACAAAUUUUCUGACACGUAUAAAGUAAAAAGGAUGAUAAUUGUUAUUGACAUUCACAAGAUUUAGACAAUCCUUUUAAAAUGUCUCAAAUCGCUGCUCUGGGUGGAGUUACAGGCAUCAUAGGUCUAGGGGGACUACUUAAUCUGGUUGGUAUGGCAACGCCGAAUUGGGUGGAGUUUAGUUAUGUCAAUAUUGGACUGUGGCAAGUCUGUCUCGAUGGCCACUGUGGAACCAUAUACAACAAAGGAGCUACCUUUAUCACCAUCUGUAUCAUCAUAUUUGUAAACGAAGCGCCGUCAAAUUCACGACUAGGGUAUUCCUCCUGCCUGUGCAUUGUGGGCGGAAUUUUGGUCCUAAUAGGGGGGAUAAUCGGACUUAUCAUCAGCAGACGAUUGAGUUACGGUCCAAAUAACCAGAUAACUUGAAAUUAUUU